CACACUUACAGUAGAUUGUUUCCUGAUAAGGGUCUGCCUUAAAGGACUGUACUCUGCAACUUAGAGAAGUUCCCAGCACAGGAUAGAAACAAGUGUCUCUAAGC